rnacentral:rRNA from 1 species
AAUGAACGUUGGCGGCGUGGAUUAGGCAUGCAAGUCGAGCGCGAACCCCGCAAGGGGUGAAAGCGGCGAAAGGGAGAGUAACGCGUGGGUAUCUACCCUCGGGACUGGGAUAGCUGCGGGAAACUGCAGGUAAUACCAGAUGACGUCCCCGGACCAAAGGUGUGAUUCCGCCUGAGGAUGAGCCCGCGUCCUAUUAGCUAGUUGGUGGGGUAAUGGCCUACCAAGGCAAUGAUGGGUACUGGGUGUGAGAGCACGACCCAGCUCACUGGGACUGAGACACCGCCCAGACACCUACGGGUGGCUGCAGUCGAGAAUCUUCGGCAAUGGGCGAAAGCCUGACCGAGCGACGCCGCGUGUGGGAUGAGGGCCUUCGGGUUGUAAACCGCUGUCAGAGGGGAGGAAUGGGCGGAGGGUAAUCUCUUCGUUUUGACCUAUCCUCAGAGGAAGUACGGGCUAAGUUCGUGCCAGCCGCCGCGGUAA